AUUGAACGCUGGCGGCAGGCCUAACACAUGCAAGUCGAACGAGUGGCGGACGGGUGAGUAAUGUCUGGGAAACUGCCUGAUGGAGGGGGAUAACUACUGGAAACGGUAGCUAAUACCGCAUACCAUCGGAUGUGCCCAGAUGGGAUUAGCUAGUAGGUGGGGUAAAGGCUCACCUAGGCGACGAUCCCUAGCUGGUCUGAGAGGAUGACCAGCCAAACUGGAACUGGGCAACGGGUCGGAAUCCUACGGGGGGCAGCAGUGGGGAAAAUUGCAAAAUGGGGGCAAGCCUGAUGCAGCCAUGCCGGGUGGAGGAAGAAGGCCUUCGGGUUGUAAAGUACUUUCAGCGGGGAGGCGUUACCCGCAGAAGAAGCACCGGGUAAAUCCGUGCCAGCCGCCGCGGUAAUAC
rnacentral:rRNA from 1 species